UCUGACUUCAGCUCUGAGAUCAAACCCUGAACACCUGAGAGAUCUGGAUCUGUCUCUGAAUAAUAUUGGAUAUUCAGGAAGGAAGCUGCUCUAUAAACUGAAGGAUGAUCCUCAUUAUAAACUGGAGACAUUAUUCUACUGACUCUCAGUGUUUAGACGUCAGUUCAGUUUCCUCAGGAUCAGCUGAUGGUGAAUAAAGAGACUGAAGACACAGAAACACACAGCGAUCACACUGACGUGUGUGUGUGACUUCACACCAGUUUCUUGUUUUAUAGUAAUGGCUCAUGAAAAUGAGUGCUGAAAAUAGCAGCUUUGAAUUGUUUCAACUUUAUUAGAUAUUGAUUACAAUGUAGAAGGAGAAACACUCAAAAUACGUGUCAAACGGUUAAAGUGAAAACAAGCCUUAGACAAUAGAUUUAUUGUGCGAUACAGACAGCGCUGGGAAAAGUGUUAUAAUUUGAAUCAAGAGUCUGUCUACAGAAGAGACUCUUUGUUCACACUCGUUGUUGCCUUUUUGUUGUUUUAUCAUUCCAUGUUGUUUCUGAUGAUUUACAGCCUUAAUAAUUAUGCACAUUCGCUUCCUCUCAGCCGAGUUUAAGUUUAAGUCUCAGUUUAGCUUGGAUUAGGUUUGCUUGUGUCAUGGAUUGGAAGAUAGAAAUAGACUAGAAUGAAAUAUUAAUGUGGAUCUACUGUUUGAGACUCUAUCAUGUUACUGUAAACAUUAAACUAUUGAACUGUACUCUCAAAUGUUCUUCAGGAGAUUUCACUAAAUCUAAUUUUCAAAAUACAUGCAUUCUCUAUAUUUUAUUUUUGUAAAACAGUGGUUUAUUAGGAAGAACUAUUGUCACAUUCAUGUUUUAUGUAUAUGGUAAGUGAUGUAUAUAGUAUAUACAGUAUGACAAUGAAAAUAUCUCAGGUAUCGUUUAUGUGCUUUACUUAAUGUUAAAAGUGUCUAAUGAGUGUGUGAAUAUCAGUUUGGGUGACCUUUAUACACACACUGACCGCUGGAUAACAGAAUGGAUAAUCAGAAGAACUGAUAAGAAUGUAAAUGUUUAUCUUGAAAUGCAAUGUAAGUCACUUUGGAUAAAAGCGUCUGCCAAAUAAAUAAAUGUAAAUGUAAUAAUUCACCUCAGAUCCUGAAAAUAAAACGAAGAAGAACGUCAA